rnacentral:rRNA from 1 species
UACGUAGGGUGCAAGCGUUGUUCGGAUUUACUGGGCGUAAAGGGCGCGUAGGCGGCCAGCACAAGUCAGUUGUGAAGUCUCCGAGCUUAACUCGGAAAGGUCAACUGAUACUGUGCGGCUAGAGUGCGGAAGGGGCAACUGGAAUUCUUGGUGUAGCGGUGAAAUGCGUAGAUAUCAAGAGGAACACCUGCGGCGAAGGCGGGUUGCUGGGCCGACACUGACGCUGAGGCGCGAAAGCCAGGGGAGCGAACGGG